GAACGGUGGGCUGCAGGUGGCAGGGGAGAUGUAGAUAAGCACGUAUGUGCAAACAGGGGGGAGGAGUGGGGAAGUCAGCAAAGUGUGUCGGGUGAUACUAAUAACUGCUGAUGAUUGCGAGAUCCUCCUCCGGCAGGCACCCCUGCUCAGGGGCUGACCUCCAUUAUCUCAUUUAAUCCUCCUGGCAGCCCGUCGAAGAUGUGGUUGAGGCUGAGAGCAAGGAACUUGCCUGUGGUUGCACUGCUGGCAGGUAUCCAGUCAGGAUUGGACUCCAGACUUUCUGUUGAUGAGCUGAUGUCUGCCCCAUCAGGCUCUUCCUCUCCAUGCCAGGGAAUGUCUCCCUCCUGAGUCCCAAACAUUUGGGGUAUUCUUUCUGGAUCAUGGCCACCUCUCUCAUGCAGUCUUGGAAACAAAGAGGUCCCUGACUAUCCAGUGACUUGAGGACGGAGAGUUGGAUGCAGCAGAAAGAACACUGGUCUGAGAGAUCAGAGACACAAUCCCAGAACUUCUACAUACUCACUAACGCUGGACCGAAGACAACCACCUUCUUCUUCCGAAGCCCAGGUGCCCUGUCUGUA